rnacentral:tRNA from 1 species
CAAAUAGAAGCCCGCUGGCUUGGGCGAUUAGCUGUUAACUAGUUUAUUGUGGGAUCAAGGCCCCCCUAUUUGG